rnacentral:rRNA from 1 species
CAGGGGGUGCAAGCGUUGUUCGGAAUUACUGGGCGUAAAGCGCGGGCAGGUGGCUUUUUAAGUCCUUUGUGAAAUUCCAGAGCUCAACUCCGGACAUGCAUAGGAUACUGGAAGGCUAGAGACUGGUAGAGGCGAGCGGAAUUCCUGGUGUAGCGGUGGAAUGCGUAGAUAUCAGGAAGAACACCGGUGGCGAAGGCGGCUCGCUGGGCCAGUUCUGACACUCAUCCGCGAAAGCGUGGGGAGCAAACAGGAUUAGAUACCCUGGUAGUCCACGCCGUAAACGAUGGGCACUAGAUGCCGGGCCUAUAGACGGGUUCGGUGUCGCAGCUAACGCAUUAAGUGCCCCGCCUGGGGAGUACGGCCGCAAGGCUG